CAUUCUUAACGCAGUAUCUAGUACACGUAAGAGCCCAAUCAAUUGUACCUUUGGACAACAGCGCUAGCAGUAUGCUAGGUACUAGAAUGGGUUUUCCCAUAAUGCUUGAUUGAGAACUGGAAGUAAAGCAAAUGAAGCAAACAGUAACUCAAGCAAGGCCAGUUUUGGCCUUAAGCUGCCAGCCUAUGUCAAUAGGAACUGAAUGAGUAUGGCUUCCUGAUCCCGGUGGAAACUUCAGUGGCUUGGAUGGACUCCGCUUUAGAGCACAGCAUGUCUUCAUCUGGGCAGGGAUGAAGAGAUCACCCCUUGAGGCCCCACCAAGUGGCCUGCUCAUUCCUCCACCUGUCUGUGACUCAGAGCAGGUACCAGACCUACACUGUGCUGGUGCUCCAUUCCUGUGGUCUUGGCCACCUCGAUCUUUCCCAUGCAUGAGGUUAGAAUCUCCUAAUGAUAAUAUGGCAACAUCAAGUUCAGGGACGCCUUGUACUUGCGGAAGCUUCACGCGUCUGACUAUUCACUUGCCCAUUUGUUUACUGUAGCCAGGAGCCGGGGUUUGAACAUCGGCUCUGCAACUUCCUAGCUUUGCAAUCCUACGUGAGUUUCUUCACCUUUCUUAUCUUUUUUCUUUUUUUAAUGUUUAUUAAAAACAGAGCGUGAGCAGGGGAGGGGCAGAGAGAGGGGGAGACACAGAAUCCAAAGCAGGCUCCAGGCUCUGAACUGCCAGCACAGAGCCCAAUGCGGGGCUCGGACUCACAGACCAUGAGAUCAUGACCUGAGCCAAAGUUGGACGCUCAACCAAUGGAGCCACCCAGGCGCCCCAAGUUACUUCACCUUUCUGAGCCUCAGUUUGCUCAGCCGUGAUUAUAGUAUCCAUUUCAUCAGAGAGCAUUG
rnacentral:lncRNA from 1 species